rnacentral:misc_RNA from 1 species
GAAUUGCGAUAAGUAAUGUGAAUUGCAGAAUUCAGUGAAUCAUCAAAUCUUUGAACGCACAUUGCGCUCCUUGGUAUUCCGGGGAGCAUGCCUGUUUGAGAAUCAAUAAAUCUCUCACUGCUAGUCCUCUGCCUCGGCAGAGGUUUGGUGGUGGAUUUGAGUCCUUUGCGACCUGACGGUCACAAUGACUUUAAAUUCAAUGUCUGCAGCUUUCUUCCGAUGGGGAAUGGCUUUGAGUGCACGAACUGUUUUAAUUAACCUAGACUUCACUCAUUAAAGUUCCUGAUAUCGCGGAGAAUCGGCCGUUUGACCCAACCAUUACAUCUUUGCGAGAUCAGGUUUUGAUCGAGCAUUGAAAACUUGGUCUCAAAUCAGGUAGGAAAACCCGCUGAACUUAA